GGAGCUGUCUGACACCUUCCUGGAAAUGGAAGGAAGCUGUACGUGCGUGCUGGGACGUUUCUGCUCAAGCUGCCCAGCACAGCGAGGCGCAGUGCAGCGAUGCACGCCAGCUGGCAGCACUGCGUGAUCUGAGCAGUUCUAGCGUGCUGUUGGAAUGCACAGUGCAGUGUGCUGGUAGUCCCCAGCACCCUGUGUGGCUGGGUUUGCAGUGGAACUCUGUGUCGGUGUUACCCCAGUGCAGCCAUUGUUAAAACUACUUUGUCACUUGCUGCAAGGAACAUCAAGACUUGGGACUUGAGACUCCCGAAUCCAUUUGCCUGUUGGACUUUGAAGUAUUUCUGCUCGGGAUGGCAUUCACUAGCAAUUUAGAAUUGCAACAGAAAUUUAGUGCUCGUAAUGAAACACAUCAGCCUCCUUUCGUACUGCUGCUGCUGUGCAAACAGUGCUGUGCUGAGAAGCAAACAUCCCGGUGGGAUGCUGUUCGUAUUCUCAUGCAGAAUAAAGCAGUGAAAGGGAGCGUCUGCGGUGAGAUGCUCAAGUGAAAUUCCCUGCACCAGCAGCCGGUUUGUGUCCACGUGAUGCACGGUGAAGAGAAGCCUGCAGUUCAUGACCACGGCCAGCCCCUGAAGCUCCAGUCAUGAAGGCCCUGUAUGUCAUGUCCAACGCCAUCUGUCUGUGCUGCCCAUGGCUGUGAUGGGUGCCGCUACCUCAUGUCCCCUCAAAUUGCCAGGCAUCCAAGCUUCUCCUCCUCCACCAGCUCUCCACUGGCUCCAACACCUUUGCCACCUCCCAUGUCGUGUGGUGGAAAUGCAUGGUGCUGGGGUGGGCCCAAACUCCCACCCUGACAGCAGGCACAUUUCCAAAACCUCUGCUCACUUCCUCAUCCUGCUGGCUCAUGAGAAGAUCCUGUUGUCAGCUCUGCCGACCAGCACAGCAGAGGUGGGAUUGUUACAGGCAGCUGGAAAACAGCAGGGGAAUAACCAUUUCCCCCUUUGGCUGUUAUUUCUUGAGAAAUGCUGUCUGGUGAGUGUUUAGUCAGGGCCUGAUCCACUGAUGGAGCAUCUGGGGAAAGGACCCAGUCAGCCCUGGGAGCACAGGUGAGGGCAGUUCAGCUGUAUGAUGGAAUGAGGGGAGCCUGGCUGCACCUCUCUUCUUAGACCCCACUGAAGGGCUGACCCUGCAGUGGGCAAGGAUCUCUGGUUGGAGAUCCCUCCCUUGUGGAGUUUUCCCUGUGAGCAUGGAUCUUCAGAGACAGGUGAGCACUUUGUCUUUGUAACACCCUUCUGUUGCGCUAGUCCCUUUGUGGUUACACCUCCUUCCACUGCAUUGAUCAUUCUGAUUGUUACAGACGUCCUCUGCCCCUUCCCACCUGUAAAGCAAACAAGGUGAUGACAGAGCCUUUAUUUGAGAUAUAGGUGCUAUAGAACAGGAUAUCAAAGAAAGAGGAAUCGACUCAUCCCUCCCAGCAACAGUUUGGCAGAAAGUGGUGAGCUGAGGAAUGCAGCCCUUCUGUGUUUAAACUAUGGUGUGCUGAAAGGUGAAAGGGGGCUGAGGGGUGAGGGGAGGAGACCUGUGCAGGCUGACUGUAUGUGUGCUGCUGGGAGCACUGCUGAGAUGGAGAGAGAGGAAGACUCCCCCCACUUGAGGUACUCGUGUGCUCACGCAGUGGUUCAGGCUGUGACCUGGCAAUUCCACUGCACCACCCGUCCUGCACUGUCCAUGUGCCACCUGCAGAUGUUGCCCAGCUGUUGGGCAACUCGCUGUGACCUCCCUGUCUCACUGCUGCCUUGUGCACUGGACUUCACAGCAUCUUGAUGGUGAGUAGUGGUCCUCUGGAGAUGCUGAGCAACAAUUGUGAGCUGCACCCUUUUCCUGGACCAGUAUCCCAAGCCCUUCUCAGCCCAGAGCCUGUCUCUCUUUCCCUGGGGUUCUAUGGAUAAGUCAGCAAGAUGGGACUUUGCCAGCCAGGUGGUUUCAGCUUCACCACCCAAAUGACAGCAGGGCAGUCCUGCAGCUCAUGGCAGCCCUACGGCUCUGUUCCUUUGCCAGGCUGGAGAGCUGAAUCAGCUCCAAUUCUACAGAUCCUUCCCUGAGUCCUGCUUCUAACCACCGAUACUUCUGCAUCCUCUAGGCCACAUCAGGACUGGAAAGAGGAGUAGAUAUCAGGCGGAAGGAUCUGGCCUUCUGCUGGGUGAUAGCCACCUGCGUGGCCUGUUCCUGCUUUCACUUUUCCCCAGGUGGCAUUGUGCUUCCCAAGGAGUGCACGGAUCUUUCUGAUGGGAGUGAGCAGCAAGGAACCAACUGAAUCAUAGAAUCGCAAGGUUGGAAACGACCUGUAAGAGUCUCAGCUAUAGAGGUCCUAUAAGGGUCUCAGCUUCCUUCCUGCCCUGUGCUUGACUGAGGGACCCUGCGACCAGCUCAGGAGGUCACAGCAGAGUGAGUCUGCCUGCAUCAGCAGAAGAGCUGCCUUCAUGGAGGUGCAGAUGCAGCCGGCCGUUGUGGAAUUCAUCUUGAACCACUCAGAUGUUCUCUUCCACUCCAAAUCCAGCCCGUUCUUUGGAGAUGGAGCAGAUCCCUGAUUUGACAAAAAAAUGGCUUAAAGGACCUUCCAUAAUUUCACAGGCAAAUAUAGGCAAUUUAGUGUGGAAAGGCAGUUUGGACAAUCAUGUAGCUCUCAGCUAUCUUUGGGAAUCUUUCAGACUUUGGAGGCAAGAGAGAUGUCCUCCUUGGAGACAUUUUGUUUGUUUGUCAUUUGGUUUCUAGAGAAGAAGCAAUGGAAAUGGCCUUUUUAUCACAUCUUCAAGCAUAGCAAGGAUUAUGAUUUUUUUCUGUCAACCUGGAUGGCAAUCUUUUACUCUUUACUAUGGGUGUAGGUAAAAUGUCUUGAAUGGGAGGCCUUAAUCAUUUACAGAAGAAUGUUUUCUUAUGAGCACAGUGGAUAGAAGCACCUUGGCUUUGGUGCCUACUUUUAUGCAAUUUUCCCUCUACAACAACAAAAUUUGCUCCCUGCUAAAACAUUCUAUGUUGGUUUUCCUUGUAUUCUUUUUCAUUUAGCUCUCCCACUGUUACUUCAGUGCUCCCUUCCCUUCCCUUCCCUUCCCUUCCCUUCCCUUCCCUUCCCUUCCCUUCCCUUCCCUUCCCUUCCCUUCCCUUCCCUUCCCUUCCCUUCCCUUCCCUUCCCUUCCCUUCCCUUCCCUUCCCUUCCCUUCCCUUCCCUUCCCUUCCCUUCCCUUCCCUUCCCUGUAUUUCUCCUUACCACCAAAAACCCCUUUUUAUUCAAGUCUGACACUGUUCCAUGUGGAGGAAUCACUGGACUGGAAGGAAUCUGAGCACUGCGAGAUUCACUCUCCCUGGACAGCAACAGCACACAUGCUGUCACUCUCACAACACAUCAAUAUUCCAAUUUCUCUUCUCUUGGAAAGGAAACAGGAAGAGGGUAACAAUCUGUACCUAUGCAAAUUUUCUGCCACAGACAUGAGUUCAACUUAGCCCUCCAUCUUUUAUCUAUUAAAUUUUCAGUUACAUUUAUUUGCAUUUGCAGUGUAUGACAAUUUAAGCAACGAUAGAGUCAUCUAUUUGGAGUACAAACGAUCUUACACCUUGCAUUUAGAUUCUGUGACUAAUGAAAACUGGAGCCAAGAUCUACAGGAACCAUUAUAAAGAAAUAGGCCGGAUAACUAAGCAACAGGUGAAAUUCAUUGUAAGUAAAACUGAAGUAAGGCAAAGGGAGACAGCCUGUCUUGGCAUGAAUUAUAAAGGACCAAACGCUAAGUAUGACUACUGGGAAAUGUGGUCUUGGCUUACUUUAGGUAAUUCCAUGAAAAUAUCCACUCUGUGCUCUAUCAUGUCAGAAACGUAGUUGAAUUAUUCUGAAUAAUUAGUAGAGUAAUAAGGAUAAAAACAUCUUUAGGUGACUUAACUAACUCAAGAUGGAUCCCAUCCCUUUUGAAUACAAUGCCUGGAUUUCUGAUCUCCACUCCAGAAAGACAUAAUAGAACUGGAAAUAACACCGAUAAAAAACAAGCAAACAAAAAACACCAAAAAACUGGAAUGAAUAAAGGCCAAAGAAUUAUAAAAUUACAGAAUGGUAGGGUUUGAAAAGGGACUUCUGGAGCUCAUCUGCUCCAAGCCCCCUGAUAAAGCAAGUUCCCUACAGGAUGUCUUCACAAGCAGUUAAUAAAGGACUUUUCAGCUUGCAAAAUACAUGGUUUAAAUGCAAUAUUAUAGAGCUCUAUUUAAAAUACAAAUAAUUUAGAAAAGAUCAAUAGGAAAUUAUGGUUCACUGUAUUUUCCAACACCAGAACUGUGGUAUGUCAAAUAAAACUAGACAAUGGUAGCUAUGAAAUAACUAGAAAGUGACAGCUUUGGAAUAAAUAAGAGGUGGCUCCUCAUCCUGAAUGCAAUUAAAUUGGGGAAUUUCUUGAAGGAGAAGGAGGGAAAGCAGUGGAAUAAAUAUCCGGGAAACUUUUGUCUCAGGAAAUUCUUAACCUAUGUAUGAAUGAAAAUCUCAUGUAAAUAUAUUGAAAUAUCAUGGAGAAGUAUUACUAUCCAUCUAACUUGUUCUUACAGUCUUACCUACCGACCUACUACUGGUUCUUACCUGAGGAAAGACUAAAUGUAUCUUUGUUUUGGUUUGGCUGUUUUUUCAUCUUGCAGAUAGUCUUGUAGAUGUGCUGUGAGGCUGUAAGAUUGACAGAUUGAGUACAGUCUCAAUCAAGCAUGUAGUUUUGUUCUACUUUCCUCAUUGCAUCAGUAGGCAGCUCCUCAACUGAUAAGUUUCAGGCAACCUUCUUGGAAUUCAUACUGUCUGAAGAAGGCUUAGUAGAAAGAGGUUUGAGUUGCAAUGCAUUCAGGUUAUCAAGUUUUGCAUCUGGCUCAGUUUCUUGGAGUUUCUGAUAUCUUUGGCAAGUUUGAUCCAAAUCAUGCAUGGAAAGAAAAAGAAAAAGAAAAAUGCAGAAA